rfam:Hordeum vulgare subsp. vulgare, WGS project CAJW01000000 data, contig: morex_contig_43495
CAUGUACUCUCUUCGUCCGGAAUUACUUGUCACACAAAUGAAUAAAGAUGUAUGUAUGUAGAACUAAAAUACAUAUAGAUACAUCCAUUCCUAUGACAAGUAUAUUCGAACGGAGGAAGUAUACA